UACUCGGAAAGCCAAGACUAGUGAGUGAGACAGAUGCCAGAUGAUGUAAGGUGAGAAAACAGAUGGGGCCUGGAGGAGCACAGAGCACCACUCACCAGAGAAGCUGUAAGGAGACUCUGGAAGAAUGUGUGUGACGACAGGACCACAGUACAUUCGAGGAGGUACACUAGUGACAUGAAGGUUCUGUGUGUCUGUGAAGCAGAGUGUACCUCAAAGAAGUGGGCUCUACCUGGGAGAGGUGGACUGUGAGGAUCAGCAGAAGAGCUUCCCAAACGUGCUGGACUCCCCACUCCCAUGUUUUCCUCUUUAGUGAGGCUGCAGUGGGGCCCCGAGAUCGGUUUGAACGAGUGUCCAAUGCUGCUAAUGCUGCUGUCAAAGAGCCACACCUUGCGAAGCACACCCUAGAGGGACUUCCCUGUGCGUGAAGGCGCACCACAGCCAGCCUAGAGAGCUCGCCACCCACAUCCAGCUCAAGCUCCACGGCCAAGGCACACACCGAAGGACGUGCUGCCCCUUCUUCAGCUGAGGGCUGAGGGCAACGUCCGCAUCGGAUUGGGGAGCCACCCCUUCCUGAGGCCUCACCUCCACAUCUCCAGGAUCUCCUAGGAGCUUUGGGAAUUAGCAACUAAUGGACCCAUCCUCACUCGGGCAUCUCGGCUGCAGGCUCCUGGGAAGCCAGGCAUGCGGAGAGAAACAAGGUUAUAUACAAAAUGGACCCCAACCAGUGAGGCCUCCUCAUCUCAACCCUUAUCAAUCAGGAUUAAAACUCAGUGCAUGUGUGUGCUUCAUCCAGCGUCUGCAGGCUGCAUCCACGCCUUCAGGCUCUGUUAAGGAGAGUCGUCCUAAAGGACCUUCACUUUCAAAGGAGGCGAUGAAGAGAGCUAAGAGAUGACAAGCCCCUCAGAACCCAUGUCCACAUGCAGUGAGUCUGCCUACUAUACCAGUUGUCCCUUCCUUUCUAGGGGUGCAACUGGGCCUGUCCACAGGUCUCUACUCCCUGAGGUUCUAGAGCUCCCAUCUUUGGGACUGAGAAGUUUCCUGGUUCUGCAGCACUAUCAGGUGGCUUCCAGAGCCCCCUCUACCCACAGCUCCCCCCGGUGAUCAAGCCUGCCUCCCAGGGUAACCCCCCCCCAAUGAAAGCAGAGGACAUGGGGGCAUCAGGGUGACAUGUACAGUGUGGGGAGGUGGGUGUGCUGCCCUGGGGCACUGGGCCUCACCUUCCUCGCUGUAGAUGGGUGCCGUGAGCAGG